CCUACGGGAGGCAGCAGUGGGGAAUUUUGGACAAUGGGCGCAAGCCUGAUCCAGCAAUGCCGCGUGAGUGAAGAAGGCCUUCGGGUUGUAAAGCUCUUUUGUCAGGGAAGAAACGGUGGGGCUAAUAUCCCUCGCUAAUGACGGUACCUGAAGAAUAAGCACCGGCUAACUACGUGCCAGCAGCCGCGGUAAUACGUAGGGUGCAAGCGUUAAUCGGAAUUACUGGGCGUAAAGCGUGCGCAGGCGGUUUUGUAAGUCUGUCGUGAAAGCCCCGGGCUCAACCUGGGAAUUGCGAUGGAGACUGCAAGGCUUGAAUCUGGCAGAGGGGGGUAGAAUUCCACGUGUAGCAGUGAAAUGCGUAGAGAUGUGGAGGAACACCGAUGGCGAAGGCAGCCCCCUGGGUCAAGAUUGACGCUCAUGCACGAAAGCGUGGGGAGCAAACAGGAUUAGAUACCCUGGUAGUCCACGCCCUAAACGAUGUCUACUAGUUGUCGGGUUUUAAUUAACUUGGUAACGCAGCUAACGCGUGAAGUAGACCGCCUGGGGAGUACGGUCGCAAGAUUAAAACUCAAAGGAAUUGACGGCUGAGACGNGCGAGACGACGACGAGGGAGAGG
rnacentral:rRNA from 1 species